GGCUCCUAGGCUCGACACGCCUCCCACCAGCUCAGGCGGCUCCUGCAGCUGCAAAGCCUGCAGAUGCACCUCCUGCAAGAAGAGCUGCUGCCCCUGCUGCCCCGUGGGCUGCGCCAAGUGCGCCCAGGGCUGCGUGUGCAAAGGGGCCUCGGACAAGUGCAGCUGCUGUGCCUGAUGUCACGGAGAGCCUGCCCCGGGUGUCGACGGAGGAACACGGGCCGACCUGCAUUGUAGCGUUUCUCAUACAACCGGACCUGACGCUACAUUCCUUUUUCUAUGAAAUAUGUGAGUUGUAAUAAAAAUUGUUGACUUUAUUCUGGCUCUGUCUUCUUUUGUCUGUCUUGGACAAAGAGACCCCGUGCCCAUUAGGACUGGCGUGGGGAACUGGACUGGAAGUGUAGAGACCUCGGCUCUGGACCAAAG